rnacentral:lncRNA from 1 species
ACUUGCGCCUGCAAAUUUAUAACUUCAUCACCCCACCUAGUUUUCUGCGGUCCUCGACUGCGCUUCCCUUCUCUUGGUAUCCAUUCUGAAACUCCAAUGGCCCACCAGUUAUCCAUCUUACGAAUUACAUGGGCUGCCCACUCCAUUUUUUCCUCUUAAUCGCAACUAGAAUAUCGGCUAUCAGCGUUU